rnacentral:lncRNA from 1 species
UUUUUUAUAGACAGCUGUCAUUAAAACUUGCAGCUGCUUUCUGUUAUUCCUAAAGGUGUUUAAUACAAGCUGGCAAAGGGAGAAGAAGUUAAAGGAGGAACUGAAAGAGACAGGCCACUCGCGCAGCUGUGAAGUUGUGAAGGCAAACAGCAGCGAGCCAUUCCUCCUUCCUGCAGAAAAGCAUCUCGAGGAGCAGCAGGAAGAAACCCAGCUCUAUCCUGCGAGCGGGGCUGCGCAGGAGGUAGACGCUUCUCUCACGAUCCGAAGGCAGCUCCGAGCUGCCUGGCGGUGUGUGCACACCUACUGAACGAGCUAUACUUGCAGCGUGUCAUCACGGAUGCUUUGAAGUCCCUCCCUCAGUCGCCGCUGUCGGGGCUGUCCGUGGGCACCGGGCGAGAGGAGCGUCGCAGCCCCGUGGGCGCUGGCCGGGGCUUGGGGGGCUGCGAUGCCUCGUGA